GGCUUCCUAGUGUUCACCUCAGGUUCUGUACUUAUAUUGAUUGUUUAGAAAUUGGAGGCAAAGUAAACAUAUGCUAUGUACACCUCAACCCAGGUUGUGCCUGGUUUGCAUUGUGAAUUGGUGAAAAAAAU
rnacentral:snoRNA from 1 species